rnacentral:rRNA from 1 species
GAUGAACGCUGGCGGCGUGCCUAAUACAUGCAAGUCGAGCGAACGGACGAGAAGCUUGCUUCUCUGAUGUUAGCGGCGGACGGGUGAGUAACACGUGGAUAACCUACCUAUAAGACUGGGAUAACUUCGGGAAACCGUAGCUAAUACCGGAUAAUAUUUUGAACCGCAUGGUUCAAAAGUGAAAGACGGUCUUGCUGUCACUUAUAGAUGGAUCCGCGCUGCAUUAGCUAGUUGGUAAGGUAACGGCUUACCAAGGCAACGAUGCAUAGCCGACCUGCGAGGGUGAUCGGCCACACUGGAAGUGAGACACGGUCCAGACUCCUACGGGAGGCAGCAGUAGGGAAUCUUCCGCAAUGGGCGAAAGCCUGACGGAGCAACGCCGCGUGAGUGAUGAAGGUCUUCGGAUCGUAAAACUCUGUUAUUAGGGAAGAACAUAUGUGUAAGUAACUGUGCACAUCUUGACGGUACCUAAUCAGAAAGCCACGGCUAACUACGUG